rnacentral:lncRNA from 1 species
UUUGAAUUUUAGGUCAAAGUUGCUCCAAGAAGUACACCCCAGAGCAAAUCGGUGAGGCCACAGUCACAGCAUUACAGCGCACAGUACCAGCCGCUGUUCCAGGCAUAACAUUCCUGUCUGGUGGACAGUCCGAGGAGGAAGCUUCUGUCAACUUGAACGCCAUUAAUAAGCAUCCAGGUAUGGUAUAUGUACCUUGGAAGUUCAGCAGUAGUGUAAUCGGGAGGUUUGGUUUCCUCCUGUAGUAACACUAGACCAACAAGAGGCAUUUACUGGACAUCUAGGAAGAACAAUUUAGAAC